GAAGGGCUUAUAACCCAACGUCACACCAGCACCACAACGCAGGAAGGAGAGGCAUCGACUGGUGUGAGCAACAUCUCAGCGGCGAGCGGGUUGCUUCGGCAGAUUACGGCAGUGGUCUACUGCAGGGAACGACGAUUUUCUGUUCUUACCGGUCAUGCCAAGAGGAAUAUUCCAGCUCCCUCGACAGUGCCGUGGACUAACCUGCGACACAGGACCUACUAUAGCAGAUGACGUCAUUCCAUACGCUUUCGCAACAGCUCGGCAGCACCUCCGCAGUCCUCUGCACUCUGCUGCGCCUGAACUUGACGGUACGCCUUCCAGCCACAGCGACCCCAGGUGUGAAGACUUCCUCAUGGGCUUGGACGCUUGUCAAACGACCGUCCGAGUCGCCGACGAGGUCGUCCGUACCUUCCGCAGAACCUGGCUGACUCCCAUUCCGUUCCGGUGACAUCUUGUACUUACCAGACGUUGGGAAAGGUGGGAGGAAGUGUGGUCAUAACCAGGUGUUAUCGCUGAUACUCCCCCCGACAUGAAAGUCUCCUGUGUCACUGCGAGGGUACCUGAAGCUUGUCCAGUCGUAGCAGUACGACCGCAGAAACGAAAUGCAUCGUGACGACUGUUCCUGGCAGCGGACUGAUUACGACGCAGUGGUCUUCUUCUGCAAGGAACGACGGUGUAUGCAAAUAAAGAAUAAAAAAUAUGCUGUUAACCUGAGCGUUGCUUGGGACCUGCACCCCCAGAGAACACAAGAACUUUACGGAACACGCGUUUGGAGGUUCUACGUGUUGUGUGUGCCCAUCUGUUAACAUCUUGGUGUUUUCUGACGCCAAAUUUCGACAGCUUUUCUUCCAUUCCAGCUGUGAAAUAAAGUACAUUCUACUGAG